UUGCUGGCGGGCGCGUCC
rnacentral:misc_RNA from 1 species